GUUUUAGUAGUUUAAAUAAAACACUGGUCUUGUAAAUCAGAAAUAAGAUAUACUUCUAAAACU
rnacentral:tRNA from 1 species